rnacentral:tRNA from 1 species
ACUAUUUUAGCAAAAAAAUGCAUUAAAUUUAGAAUUUAAAGAUAUAAAAAUUAAUUUUAUAAAUAGUA